rnacentral:rRNA from 1 species
GACGAACGCUGGCGGCGUGCUUAACACAUGCAAGUCGAACGGAAAGGCCCUGCUUUUGUGGGGUGCUCGAGUGGCGAACGGGUGAGUAACACGUGAGUAACCUGCCCUUGACUUUGGGAUAACUUCAGGAAACUGGGGCUAAUACCGGAUAGGAGCUCCUGCUGCAUGGUGGGGGUUGGAAAGUUUCGGCGGUUGGGGAUGGACUCGCGGCUUAUCAGCUUGUUGGUGGGGUAGUGGCUUACCAAGGCUUUGACGGGUAGCCGGCCUGAGAGGGUGACCGGCCACAUUGGGACUGAGAUACGGCCCAGAUUCCUACGGGAGGCAGCAGUGGGGAAUAUUGCACAAUGGGCGGAAGCCUGAUGCAGCAACGCCGCGUGCGGGAUGACGGCCUUCGGGUUGUAAACCGCUUUCGCCUGUGACGAAGCGUGAGUGACGGUAAUGGGUAAAGAAGCACCGGCUAACUACGUG